rnacentral:lncRNA from 1 species
AUACUGAUAGCAAAAUGGGUCUCACCUUCAAGGGUUUUGGUAGAACUGAGGGCAAAGGUUUCCUCUUUCUCAAAGGUAUCUCCCACCUCUUCCCAAGCAGCAGCAAAGUUAGGCUUCAGUACUUUCUGAAUAUGGUCAGACACAGUCACUUCGAGAUCUUCCAGCUAGUGGGUAAUAAGCAGUCAGUAAAGAAAAGUCCUUUCUGUUAUAGGGCAAAGAUAAAGGAACUAGUCAAUAUGGUCCUCCGGAGCCUAGAGAAAACUCUACCACCAAAAUAGUUUAAGUUCUGUAGUCUGGAUAAAUCUAAUGUUGUAGCCCUUAGCAAAGGAAAGCAAGAAAACAGAACAUCUGGCAAGAGCCUCAGAUCAACAUCUGUAGCCCUGAGGUACAGAGUAGUCAUGUUGCACCCACACUUGACCACUGAGUUCUGGGCACACGGUACCCUCUGAUCAUUCACUAAGAGGUUGAUAUUUUUUAAAAAAAGUUUUCCCUCCAUUCUGUGAAGGCUUUUUAAUCCAUGAUCUGGCUAUAAACUAACAGCUGCUGAAGCAAAAACAAAAAACCAAAAAACAAAACCAACCCCCUCCCCAAAUCAUUUUAAAUAAAACUGAUCUCAAUGAAAA